rnacentral:tRNA from 1 species
AGGGGCCUUAGCUCAGCUGGGAGAGCGCUUCGCUGGCAGCGAAGAGGUCAGGGGUUCGAGCCCCCUAGGCUCC